CAUAAGGUAUGCUGGUCCCUGAAGUUUCUCUAUGGAAUGUUGGAAAAGCCUGUCUCACAGAAACAGUUCUGCACAGGUUGGGAGAACCCUGCAGGCUGCUCACUGCAGGCCUUCAUCACACCAGGAAGGUGGUCCUGAUGCUGUUACAGAUGCAGUGCUUCAACACAGGCAUCCUAUGGAUGCUACUGGAGGUUCUGCUGUGAGGGGCAACAGUAUGUAUGUGAGAAUGUGAGUACAGUUGCCUAGAGAAGCGAGAAGAGAGCAGCAGACACAUCUGGAACUGGACUCACAGGCGGUUGGCAACUGUCCUGUGUGGGUGGUGGAGAAUGAACCUGGGCCCUCUGCAAGAGCAGUCCUCUUGUUCAUCACUGAACUGUCUCUCCAGCCACUGCAUUGCCUCCUCAAAAAGUGACCCUGUCUGGACCAUCUACAUCAAGAAGGAGCAGAACAACAUUCUCUGCAGAAGCAGACAGAGCCAAGCAAAGGCAUCUUUCUAUCCAAGACAUCAAUUUGUUUGCUCAUAAUCUGACCAGAGCACUGCGUGCCUAUUGUGGAUUGGGUUUUCCAAGAAGUUUUUAAAAAUGCACAAGAGUGGAUUUAGGUUGGGGGCGGGGUGAAGCACAAGUGUGUGCUCCUGCCACCCCAGUGCAGAAGGGAGGCCGGGAGGGAAAGCAAGCAAGAGAAUCCUAGCCAUACGGAGUCUAAGCAUCCGAGGUGCCCUUAGAAUUGCUACCGAACGACACAUGUUAUAGACAGCAUUGAGGACUUCUCCUCCGGACCAUCGUUCUGUUGAGUUUGUCUCCCCAAUCCCAGGGACUAAAUUCAGCACCUUGCAUUUGCUUGCCAAGUGCUGUACCACUGAGAGACCUCCUCCAGCACUCAUUUUUAAAUUCAUUCAUAUGUGUGUGUGUGUGUGU